rnacentral:misc_RNA from 1 species
UUUCCGUAGGUGAACCUGCGGAAGGAUCAUUAUUGUAUAACCGAGGUGCGAGGGCUGUCGCUGACCCGAAAGGUCGUGCACGCCCGAGUGCCCUCACACACAUCCAUCUCACCCCUAUGUGCACCACCGCGUGGGUCCCCCUUUGGCUUGUUCGGAGGGGGGCUUACGUUUUCACACAAACUUUGUAUGCAGUGUAGAAUGUAUUUUUUGUUUUUGCGAUCACGCAAUCAAUACGACUUUCAACAACGGAUCUCUUGGCUCUC